AGAAGGAGAAAAUUGGUUUGAUUACGGAUACGGACGUGUCCACGAACUCUGGGAAGACGACUGACAGCUGAACGAUGUGUGCGACUGGAUGAUGUCAUCAUUCACACACUCUGUCAGCUCUCUUUGGCUAGGUCUGAGCUGGUCUCAUCCACAUCAGAAGUGGGCGGGGUCAAAAGGUGAGGUUCAUGAAGCGUCAGUCAUUUUGAACGUCUGAGCUUCUUCCUCCUUACCCUGAAGAUGGACAGAAGCAGAGCGUCCUGUGUGCAGCCGCUAGCUAACCUGCAGGAAGAGAGGCGAGGAGGUGGCGUGCGUCCUGCGCCUGAUCCACUCACCACGUGUUCGAUGCCACUGUACUCGCCCUCCGUGUUCUCCCGGAUGGUGACCAGGUCGACGUCGGUGUACGGAGUCUUGUAGCCCUCAAUGGAGACACAGGGGCGC